rnacentral:rRNA from 1 species
GGAGGGUGCGAGCGUUAAUCGGAAUUACUGGGCGUAAAGCGCGCGUAGGCGGCUUGGUCAGUCGGAUGUGAAAGCCCCGGGCUUAACCUGGGAAUUGCAUUCGAUACUGCCGAACUAGAGUAUGGGAGAGGGAAGUGGAAUUUCCGGUGUAGCGGUGAAAUGCGUAGAUAUCGGAAGGAACACCAGUGGCGAAGGCGACUUCCUGGCCCAAUACUGACGCUGAGGUGCGAAAGCGUGGGUAGCGAACAGGGAUUAGAUACCCUGGUAGUCCACGCCGUAAACGAUGAGAACUAGAUGUCGGGAAGAUUUACUUCUCGGUGUCGCAGCUAACGCGUUAAGUUCUCCGCCUGGGGAGUACGGUGCAACACUA